GAGAGAGAGAGACUGAGAGACAGUGAGGGAGGGAGGGAGCGCCACACGGUCAAAUUGAGCUUCAUCUACCGCGGUGGGUCACUUAAUAAGAGCCAUUUGGAGCCAGAGGCGACCCGGAGCGCGUAGGAGCCGCAGUCAGAGGCAGAUCAUCUUAAUAAGAGCAGCAGUCACAAACGCAGAGGCCAGCAGCAGAGAGCACAUUGCUGCACACAGGGAAGAAAGAAACGCACAGACACGGAAGAGAAGUGAGUGAAAGAGAGGCAGAGUGAGGGACGGACGGCAAGACAAACAGUUUAACUUUAACUCUACGGGAUUAAAAAAAAAAAAAAAAAAAGCUAAAAAGUGAAAGCCUAGAAGCCGGAAAGUGUUGGUGAAGAUGCCGCGGGUAGUCCCGGACCAGAGGAGCAAGUUUGAGAAUGAGGAGUUUUUCCGCAAGUUGAGCAGGGAGUGUGAGAUUAAAUAUACUGGGUUCAGGGACCGGCCCCAUGAGGAGAGACAAGCUCGCUUCCAGAACGCCUGCAGGGAUGGACGGUCAGAAAUAGCCUUUGUAGCUACAGGUACCAACCUCUCUCUCCAGUUCUUUCCAGCCAACCUGCACGGAGAUCAGAGGCAGGUUCCUACAAGGGAGUAUGUCGACUUUGAGAGGGAGACAGGAAAGGUGGCGGCAACGAGCCAAGAUAUGCAGCAAUGCGACAGCAAAGGCAGUGAAGAAGAAGACCGCAAGCAAGUCCAUUUAAAGGCUCCUAUGAUCUUGAACGGGGUGUGUGUGAUCUGGAGAGGCUGGAUUGACCUACAGAGGCUGGAUGGGAUGGGAUGCCUGGAGUACGAUGACGAGAGGGCGCAGCAUGAGGACGCUUUGGCCCAGGCAGCCUUUGAAGAGGCUCGCCGCAGAACCAGAGACUUUGACGACAGAGACCGAUCACACCGAGAGGAUCUAGAGGACCCUGUGGUUUCUAAAAUCUGGGACUGAUGACACACAGACAGACAGCCAGCAGAAAAGAACAGGUUCACUCCUUGGCCUUUUUGAAGAAUGCACAGAAUCAAAGCACCAACAAAACCACAUCCAGACGACAGCAGGACCCCAGCCCUGGCUCAAACAUGGCCAACGCUGACGUAGAACACAAGAUGCGCUGAGGAGGACGAGGAUGAGGAAGUAGUGGAGGGAGGAAGAGGAGAAAACCAGGGCUGGCUGUCCAUUCAGUUUCAAUACAAUCAACUGAAGAAAAAAAAUGUCAACUGAAGCUGCAAUUGUAGACCAAUUGUUCACCAUUAUUUCCUAACAGGUUUGAUAUGAUCGUUUUCACAUGCCAAACAUUUUUAAGAUAUUUAAAUGUAGAAGAAUUCCUGAAUUGAUUGAAUUGAAAGUGAAGCAAGCCCUAGAGAAGAAGGAUUUAAAGGACCCAACGGACCUGGGCAAAAAGUAGUUGAAUAUAUUUAAAUACAGAGGAAGGAAAAUGAGCAGUUGAUUUAGCAUAUUGCAAAUAUGACACAUCCAGAGUUGAAGUUGUUUAUUGAGUCAAAUGAGUGUUUCAGAUAUAUAAAGUAGAGAUUGAGACAUUCAGAAACUUUGAUAUCUUUUGUCCAGGUCUUAAAGGAUUUGAUGGAUAGGGGUAGAUUCAAAUACCAAAAGUAUAUUUUCGAUUAAUACAAGAUUGUUGAAAACAGAGGGAGGGGGGUUGUAAGGGGGUACAGAGGUUAUUAAGGAGGGGAGGAGGCAGAAAGACAGACGCUAGAAAGAGCAGAGAGAUUUGUUAGGCUCAGGGUCACAGUCAGGGCUUAUUGGUCAGGAUUACCAGUAGAGCAUGCAUCAAAAGUGAGGUGUUGACAAAAGAAAUUAUUCUGCAUUGUUCAGUGUUGUGCAACACUUCACAUUUGUGAACAUGCCCAUGUUAACCCCCACUAUACCUUGCUCACUUCCUGAAACCUGCUGUUUUCUUAGACCAAAGUUCACUUUGCUGGAAAGGGAGGGAGGGAGGGAAUAACAGAAGGCGAAACUGAGUCACAUUUUAAAAAGUGGGCAGGUGGGAGGAGAGCAUCCAGAGAGAUUUAUGCCAGGUUGUAGGGUUAAGAAGUGUUUGCUGUACUAUGAUAUUCAUGAUCUCUUUAAAACAUCACUAUGGUGAGAUGCCCAUGACUAUAGAAUCACAGGUUAUGUAGCAACAACCUCGAGGCAGGACAGUUAACAAAGAAAACUGCUACAAACUCUGCUAUCUUUGGCUCUGGAAGUGGGAUGGGGAGGGAUCAAUUCAAAUGUCUUCUGAGGGGUUUUGCACUAUGUGAUACACUCAGUCUUGUUCUCCACAUGGAAUUUCUUUAUAUGCAUGAAACCAAACACAGGCCUACCUAUGUUCUUUAUUGUUCCCUAUGCAGCCUAUUUAUCACGAGAGCACUCUUUUUACAGCGCUUUAAUGAAGAAUAACUGGGUGAUUCAAGGCUAUGUCAUUGUGAAGCCAAAUUUAGGUGUGCUCUUGCCGUGGACCCAAACAGCUCGCGUGCUCAACAAAGCACAAAAGCAUCGUUUUUGUUUAACCUGGAUUAUGUUUGUGUCCUAGUGAGACACUUGAGCAGACAAAAUGCCACUUUUGUUGGCCAAUGUGUCACCCAGGUGCACUGGUGAUAAGCUCAAAUGCCACUCUGGUGUGGCGUUCAUGCUAAAAUGAACCCACAAUGUUGUGCAUGAAGGUGGUGACCCCUCAUUUUGGCCCCUGUCCUUUAGAAUCUGUGCACACCUCUGAACUGAAAAAGAAGCGUGUUUCUUUUUCAGAGCCACAGGGUCAUCAUAACAUAGCAUCACUGUCCAGUGAAAACCAUGUAGUAUCUCCAAAUGUGGUGAUUUUGAAUUUUUUAGGGUUUAAGUGUUGCUUUAUGGGUUAAGAAGUAGGACAAUAAAAAAAAAACAUCUUUUCUAAAAAAAUUUGUUUUUUUUCACAGUUCAUGAAAAGUUGACGUUUUGGAGAGACAUAGUUUUCUCCGGACAGUGAUGAUAGUUAGCAUACUACUAUAACAUGCUACUAUUCCAGUGGAUAUCAGCCAAAACACAAGCUCACAAACUCUUCAAAAACACCCCAUACACAUCAAUGACAUGUGUCACAUAUCACUUCUGUCACUUCUAAUGUAUAAAAAUUAGAUUGCAAUCCACAUUAAUAAUUUAUCAGCUCAGAUCAUAGACUGUACAGUCUAUAGUACCAGUUCAGUUUAGUUAGAAUCCAUCUAUUGAUCGAUCAAUCACCCAGAUAUUCCUCAUCAUUAAAGGACUGUAAAUGCCUAAAUGCAGUCUAAAUACUAUUCCCUAUCCUGUUACAGCACUAGCGUAAUGAAAUGGUUUUGUUAUCUUAUCGUUUUGUUUGUGUGAAAGUCAUGAUGUUUACUUUUUAUAUUACUGCUCACCUCUGUAUAUGUACUCAUUUUUGUUUAUCCUUCAGCUUUGUUAUGUACUAGUAGUAGCAGCGGUAGGCUAUUUUAUGUCAAGUUGAGUUGAAAUUUACGAAAUGUCUCCAGAAAUUUGGGAGUUUGGAGGACUUUUGUUGCUUUUGUUUUUCAUUGUUUCAUGUGUUCCUUUUAUUAAUGUUAUUUUUAUUGUUGUUGGGUUUUUUUAAGGAAAUCCACUUCCUGGGUUAAAUACAUUGAAUGUGGAUUUACUCAAGCCCUGUUAUUAGGCGGUAUAAAUGUUUUUAUAUUGUGCAUCUAGAAGCUCAUUUCAUUUUCCAGUGUGUUUUACAUUUAGUGCACUCAACGGUUUUAUUAUAAUUAUUAUAACCAUGAAAAAUCUUUUGUUUAUUCAUGCUUUUCUUUUUUCUCAGUCUGACUUAUUAAGAAUUUUAAUAAGCUUUGUAACAUUUUACAAGAAGUUUUUGAGUAAAGAAUUGUUGUUGCUAAAAAUAAUAGUUUAAAUUAAAAUAAAAAAGUGAAUUGAAAGCUCAAACAUGAUAAACUUGAUGAUACGACCCCAGCCAGACUACAGAGAGGUUAUAUCAUUUUAAAACACCUCAACAUGCAAAAGAACUCAAAGGAACUGUUUAAGCUGCAAUGGUAACACAUUUGUCAACUUUUCUACAGCCUCAUUAGCAAAAACUCACAAGGCCAAAUCAUCAAGCUCAGGGUGCAACAAAAAACAAUGCAGGAUUCUCAUCCUGACAUUUGGAUACUACCUGGGAGGACUUAAUUGGGGUAACCUAAGGUCAGAAAAUGUACUUUCUCAUUGGCAGCCUUAGUUCAUUUUUUUUCCCACGGAGAUUUGGGAGACUGGGAAGAAAAGCGUAAAUGUUUCCAUUUUUCUCAGCGCAUACUGAUCCCGCAAAGUCAGCUGGCCUUGUGACUCUGUGCUUAAUUAGUUCAAGAAUGUGGAAAACAUACUUUCUGUCUGAGGGCACCUUCAGUGUGAUAAGCGGUGGAUUUUUGUGACUGAGUGUGAUAUUGGUAUGUUGAAAAGAUGAGACACAGUAGUGAAGUGGUAUUAAAGACUUUGAAUGAUGAGGUGAGGUGGGUGGAGGGACAGAGGAAGACAUUAGAACAUGUUGGAGCAUAAAAUGGACUGUGGCCCACAAUGAGGUUCAGGUCAUGUGGGUGAAAGCUGUCAUAGCUUUACAUGUACAAUGGCUGUUAUGUUUCCAUGGAGCUGAGUAAUUCUUACUUGCAUCCAGUGUAGAAAACAUUAAGGUCCCCUGCAGCACAGAUCAGGAAGUUAUUAGGCAUGCAUGUUCAAAUUAAUAUCAGUGGAAACAGAGCAUGGGUAUGAACCAGUACAGUGAGAGGUGAGGUGUAGGUGGACAGUCCGGUGCAGUACGGUUUGGGAUGAUUUAGCCUGGGCACCAGGCUUUCUGUAGGUUUUUGGAUAACUGUAAGUCAUGAAUUAGAUGGUUUUGUCUGUACUACAGCUAGACAAUGGCCAAUCAGAUAAAUCUUAGAAAUAACUCAUGAAAUCUGCCAUAGCGCAACUCUUGGUCAACCAAAGAAGCAUUAGUGAGGGAUUAAUUGUAAAAGACAAUCUAAGUCAAAUUUCUAGGUUGUAGUUAGGAAGUGGCCACAGUGUACCACCCUGUCCCCACUACACCCACCCAGUGUAUCCAUAUUAUGCCAUUAUUUAGAUGGUUACCCAUGUAAACACCUUAGUUGAUACUCCAUCCCUCAGUUUUCUUAAUGCAGGCAUUAAGGCAAAAAAUAAACCACAAACAUUUUCUUUCUUUCUUUCUUUUUAAACUGUUUAUCUUCUUAUUUGUUUAAGUUAUUUAUACUUUGGUUUUAUUUAGAGAUCCAAAGAAGAACUCUGUGAUAUUUAGUGGCUUGUACACACUCCCCAAGUUUCUCCUUCCUGUGUGUGUGGUCUGUCUUUCCCUGUGUUUUAGUGUUGAGCUUGUCCUCUCGGAGGAAUCUGAAAUAUGAGAUAUUCACUUCAAAAUGUUGGAUGUUUUUCAUAAUAAACAUGUAUGAACUCUUG